rnacentral:rRNA from 1 species
CUGGGAAAGACCGGUGCCAGCCGCCGCGGUAAUACCGGCAGCUCAAGUGGUCGUCGCUUUUAUUGGGCCUAAAACGUCCGUAGCCUGUUUGGUAAAUCUGUGGGUAAAUCAACCAGCUUAACUGGUUGAAUUCUGCAGAGACUGCCAGACUAGGGACCGGGAGAGGUGUGGGGUACUCUAGGGGUAGGGGUAAAAUCCUGUCAUCCUUAGAGGACCACCAGUUGCGAAGGCGCCACACUGGAACGGAUCCGACGGUCAGGGACGAAGCCUAGGGGCACGAACCGGAUUAGAUACCCGGGUAGUCCUAGGUGUAAACGCUGUGAACUUGGUGUCGGGGGUCCGCAAUGGGCCCCCGGUGCCGGAGUGAAGAUGUUAAGUUCACUGCCUGGGGAGUACGGUCGCAAGGC